rnacentral:rRNA from 1 species
AUUGAACGCUGGCGGCAGGCCUAACACAUGCAAGUCGAGCGGGGUUUCGGACCUAGCGGCGGACGGGUGAGUAAUGCGUAGGAAGCUACCCGAUAGAGGGGGAUACCAGUUGGAAACGACUGUUAAUACCGCAUAAUGUCUACGGACCAAAGUGUGGGACCUUCGGGCCACAUGCUAUCGGAUGCGCCUACGUGGGAUUAGCUAGUUGGUGAGGUAAUGGCUCACCAAGGCGACGAUCCCUAGCUGGUUUGAGAGGAUGAUCAGCCACACUGGAACUGGGACACGGUCCAGACUCCUACGGGAGGCAGCAGUGGGGAAUAUUGGACAAUGGGCGCAAGCCUGAUCCAGCCAUGCCGCGUGUGUGAAGAAGGCCUUCGGGUUGUAAAGCACUUUCAGUAGGGAGGAAGCGUUGUGUGUUAAUAGUACACAGCGUUGACGUUACCUACAGAAGAAGCACCGGCUAACUCUGUGCCAGCAGCCGCGGUAAAAC